CGAAGCCGGGUGGUGCGUGGGGUGUCCCAAGUGGUGUGGCUGGGGUCGCCGCGGUUCCCCACCCCCGUCCCCCCCCCCGCGCCCCCCGCCACGGGCUUGGGGUCGUGCCCCGGGUGUGCGCGUGCGGGGCAGUGUGCCGGGGCUCACCUGGCAGCGUGGGGGAGCGGCGCGGCGGCGGCGGCGGCGGCGGCCAGAGCGGGGAGCAGGUGCACUUGAAGAAUGGAUGAUGAUGAUUUUGGUGGCUUUGAGGCUGCAGAGAUUUUUGAUGGUGGAAAUGGUGAAACCCAAACUACAUCUCCUGCCAUUCCUUGGGCUGCUUUUCCUACAGUAUCUGGAGUCCAUCUUUCUCCAGCUUCUCCUGAGAUUGUACUAGACCAUGACCACUCUCCUUCAGUUGGCUGCCUCUCUUCUGAGCCCAUCAUUUCAUCACCAGAGAAUACACAUGCAGACAACAGCAUUGUCAGUCAAACUGUUCCCAAAGCACAGAUUCAGCAAUCAACACACACUCAUCUGGAUAUCUCACUUUUUCCAUUGGGUUUAAAUGAUGAGAAAAGUAAUGGAACAAUUGCCCUUGUGGAUGAUUCUGAGGAUCCUGGAGCCAAUGUAUCAAACAUACAGCUUCAGCAGAAAAUUUCAAGUCUGGAGAUUAAACUCAAAGUUUCUGAAGAAGAAAAACAGAGAAUUAAAAAGGAUGUGGAAUCAUUGAUGGAAAAGCACAGUGUCUUAGAAAAAGAUUUUCUUAAAGAAAAAGAGCAAGAGGCCAUUUCUUUUCAAGAUAGAUACAAAGAACUUCAGGAAAAACAUAAACAAGAAUUGGAAGACAUGAGGAAAGCUGGUCACGAAGCUCUCAGCAUUAUUGUGGAUGAAUAUAAGGCACUACUACAGUCUUCAGUUAAGCAGCAAGUAGAAGCUAUUGAAAAACAGUACAUUUCUGCAAUUGAGAAACAAGCACACAAGUGUGAAGAGCUGUUAAAUACUCAGCAUCAGAGACUCCUUGAAAUGCUAGAUACAGAGAAGGAACUAUUAAAAGAAAAAAUAAAGGAAGCUUUGAUUCAGCAAUCUCAAGAACAGAAGGAUAUACUGGAAAAAUGUUUAGAAGAAGAAAGGCAAAGAAAUAAAGAGGCAUUAGUAUCUGCUGCAAAGCUUGAGAAAGAAGAAAUGAAGGAUGCAGUUUUAAAAGCCAUAGAAGAAGAAAGAAAAAGUUUGGAAAAAGUCCAUGCUGAAGAAAGGGAGUUAUGGAAGACUGAGCAUGCAAAAGAUCAAGAAAAAGUAUCUCAGGCAAUUCAAAAAGCUAUACAAGAACAAAGAAAAAUAAGUCAGGAAACUGUUAAGGCAGCAAUAAUAGAAGAGCAGAAGCGAAGUGAAAAGGCUGUGGAAGAGGCAGUGAAGAGAACAAGAGACGAAUUGAUAGAGUAUGUAAAAGAACAGAAAAGAAGAAAACCUCCUUGACAUUCUGUUCAUUGCUGAUUCAUAUGCACUGACAUGACCUCUCUGUGCUCCUGUCUUGCUUUGGAAGCCUUGUGCUCACUCUUUAAAGGAAGUCCAAUUAUUUAAUACAUGUGCACUCGAGUCUAUAACAGAACACAAAUUGAUGCCAGAAGGUGCAACAGCCAUCUUAUGACCAAAGAGAAAAAUAUAUAUAUAUGCUAUUUUAGGAAAAUAGUCUGGUUCCUGGACUGCUUACUCCCAGAAGCUAUCGUGCAUCUAAUAAUAAAUUCUUCUUCAAGCCACUGUUUGCCAGAUUUCUGUACUCACAGCUGAACACACUUCUGACUGAGAAGAAGGGUUGGGAUUUGCAUAAGUAAAAAUAUAGAGGAAAAUGCCAAGCAUCAAAUCACAAGUGGCAUCAACAAUAUGAACAUACAAUUCAGAAUCAGAAAUGGAUGUCACUUAUUUGAACACCAGCUUGAUCAAGUCAUCCGCCAAAGAAGCCUGUCCAGUUUGGAACUGUUCCUCUCUUGUGCUCAGAAACAGUUAAGUGCUUUAAUAGCUACAGAACCAGUUGACAUUGAAUAAAGAGAACAUGACAAGCUAACCCACACUGGCAAUGGAUAAAUCAUUAGACCUCUAAAAUACAUGCUGUGAAUUAUAAAGAUGCUUUUGUUUUCCUUCCAAACCUUGGAGAAUUGAUUUCCACUUCAAGGGUAAACCAAACCAAUAUUUAGAAGAACUAUCACGAGAUCUAAUUUAUUUUUCUUUUGUUUUUUCCUUUAUAUUUACUGUCAUUUUCUUAGUAGCAGUAAUUGUAGUAGUAGCAGCAACAGAAAGUAUGAUGUGACCCAAAAGCCAUUGAAAAUUGCCACAUGACCGAAAGCUAAUUAAACUUCAUAGCCGCUGGUGGCCUAUUAUACCAUAUUUGGCAAAAGUAGUAAAUAUCUUCACUUAUUGCUUCACAGUGACUCUUGAUAAGAUUCUAGAAUGUAAUCGUACAUUUAUUUGAUUUUGAGAAUAGAAACAGCAUGGACUUCAACAUCACUUAUUUAUCUAUGUAACUUUGAUAUAAAACAUUGAUAGGACAAAGAAACAUUCUGAUAUUACCAGACCCCUUUUCUGUAGUGGGAUCUAUGUAUUUUCAUUGGUGGCAAUUAAAAAUACUGAACAUUAUUAUAUUAAUUCAGCUUUGAUCUGAGGUACUGCUUAAAGGGGUAUGUGUGUGAUAUAUGCUUAUUUCCUGUUUCUGUUCUUCAAAGUCACUAUAAAUCAAUAAAAUCAUCUUUCUUACUAAUCAUAUCGUGAACUAAAUCUCUAGACAGAUAAUAUAACUUAGCCAUUUUGUAGAAAUUCAGGUUCAAAUAUAAAAGAGAUAAAAUCCUUUCCCAGUACUUCAGAAUGUAUUUAAUCAUGAGCAAUGUACUUUAAUGCAAAAUCAUGAGUUUUUUUAACAUCAAGACUAAAAUACUGUCAUUGAAAUGUAUACAAACAUUUUGUCUUGCUUUCUGAAAUGCUUCUAUUUCCAUGGGCUUUGUACUUUUCUGGGAUUUCUCAGUGUAAUAAAAAGAACUCCAAAAACUCA